CCAGCUUUGACAUGUGAGCAGAUUGAAACUGUGUGAGAAUACAUGAGGCAUAAACCAGGCAAGGGGAGCAUAUAUUUUGACUAGUGUACAAGCUUGGCUAGUCAGGAAAUGCUUGGCUGUAUAGGUCAAGUUUCUGAUUGGUCUGGAUGACUACUUGGUUAAUAUGGGGAUCAAAGUUUAGUUUGAUGUCCAUUAUGACACCGAGUACAUUAGCAGUAUUACUACAAGGGGUACAGUCCAGAGUUUUCCAUCCAGUCUUAAAUAUUAAAGAAACGGAUUUGUAGCUGAGCUGUUCCUCAGAGAAAGACUUGACUGCAGUACAGGUCCAGUUGUGGUGGGCGUUGUGGAGUGGAGGCAAUUUCUUUGGAGUGAGACAGCAAAUACCAUUGGAUCUGGGUAGCCAUUGGUUGCCAGGUGUGCUUCUCAGCACAGGAGGUCAUCUUGCUGAAGAUGGCCUGGAGGGAUCACUGGCGGUCACUGUAGCCACUUUUUCGGGUUGUCACGUAUGGCUCUUCUUCUGACAGUGGACCAGAGGGGUUUCCCAUCAACUCCUUGUGUCAUCCAAGAUGAAACCCUACAUUGUCCAUUCUUCACAACAUUUCAUCUUGAAUUCUGUUAAUCUGCCUCUGGUAUAUAAACCGGAAAAACUGCAAAAUCUGAUACUCCCUGUAACAAACUUUUUAUGGUCUUCUGAAAUAAACCAGGUGCGGAUGACAGUACAGAAAGUGAAGGCUUCAUCAUGGGUGCCGCAGUAGCAACAGUCCAUUCUGAAUAUUUCAAAGAAAUGAUAUACGCUUUUCACUUCAAUGGUGUUUAUUUCCUCUUGUGCCUUAGCAUGCAUUCCUAAGGGAAUGAUCUUGGUCUGAAGAAUCCGGGUUUGGCAUCUGUUGAAACAUGGACACUACUCAUAGUUAUUUUUGACAUACCUAAUUCUCAUCAUCUUUAAUAAGCACUUUUUUACUGAAGUAUUAUUUUCUGGAUUUAUGUGCUUUAUGUUUAAUAAACAUUUUUAA